AGCUGAGGCGGCCAACAACGAAGGGAAAAUAACCCUAGUUGCUGUCCUCAUUUCCAGCAGCCACACAAAACCCUUAGAAGAUCCGAGCUCGAGUGGAGCACGGUGACCUGCCGAUACUCGGAGAUUUUUGCUGUAUAUAAGUUUUACAGACACAGGGAUCCUUGUGAUAUUAUAGUUGAUUUUGGACUUUCAUAGAGUUGCUCAGAGAUAUCGACGUGCUGAUUUUCUGGUUUGUUUUACUUUUGUUUCGCUGUAUUUACAUUUUGCACUUUUGUUACAGAUGU